GAGAUGCCAAUAAGGAUUUGGCUUUCGGGGAGAUGCCAAUAAGGAUUGGGCUUUCAGGGAGAAAUGCCAAUAAGGAUUGGGCUUUAAAUAUGCCAAUAAGGAUUGGGCUUUAAAUGUGCCAAUAAGGACUGGGCUUUAAAUAUACCAAUAAGAAUUAGGCUCUAAAUGUGCCAAUAAAGAUUGGGCUUUGAGAGAGGUGCCAAUGAGUAUUGGCUUUAUGGGUG
rnacentral:lncRNA from 1 species